GAUGAAGAACGUAGCGAAAUGCGAUAAGUAAUGUGAAUUGCAGAAUUCAGUGAAUCAUCGAAUCUUUGAACGCACAUUGCGCCCCUUGGUAUUCCGGGGGGCAUGCCUGUUCGAGCGUCAUUUCAACCCUCAAGCUCUGCUUGGUCUUGGGCCCUGCCGGCAACGGCUGGCCUUAAAACUAGUGGCGGUGCCAUCGAGCUCUACGCGUAGUAAUUUUAUCUCGCUUCUGAGUCCUCGGUGGUCGCUGGCCAGCAACCCCCAAUUUCUAUGGUUGACCUCGGAUCAGGUAGGGAUACCCGCUGAACUUAAGCAUAUCAAUAAGCGGAAGGA
rnacentral:misc_RNA from 1 species